UUUCCCCUGCGGUGUUCGUUCAGGCCAUAUAUUCUUUGAACCAAUAACAUCGCACUGGCCGCCGACCAUGGCAGUUUCGGUGUGCACAUCCCACGUGGAUGCGCCUGAAGGAACUCGGGAGGUGGCCGCCUUGAACCUUAGGUUCAAGAUGCUGGUCUGGAUCGGCACAUGCGGGGGACCC
rnacentral:other from 1 species